rnacentral:rRNA from 1 species
CCUACGGGAGGCUGCAGUGAGGAAUAUUGGUCAAUGGGCGAGAGCCUGAACCAGCCAAGUCGCGUGAGGGAGUACUGCCCUAUGGGUUGUAAACCUCUUUUGUCGGGGAGCAAAAGCCGGACGUGUCCGGCUGUGAGAGUACCCGAAGAAAAAGCAUCGGCUAACUCCGUGCCAGCAGCCGCGGUAAUAGGGAGGAUGCGGGCGUUAUCCGGAUUUAUUGGGUUUAAGGGGGGCGCAGGCGGAUUUUUAAGUCAGCGGUAAAAUCGUGGGGUUCAACCCCAUCCAGCCGUUGAAACUGGGGAUCUAGAGUGUGCGAGAGGUAUGCGGAAUGCGUGGUGUAGCGGUGAAAUGCAUAGAUAUCACGCAGAACCCCGAUUGCGAAGGCAGCAUACCGGUGCACAACUGACGCUCAGGCACGAAAGCGUGGGUAUCGAACAGGAUUAGAUACCCUAGUAGUC